UGUCAAUGCCUGACAACAAGCAGUUAUCUAGUUGAUCUGGUUUUGUUUGCAGGCAAGGUCUCACUAUGAAGCCCUGGGACUUGCUAUGUAGACCAGGAUGAUCUUGAACUCAAAAAUCCACCUGCCUCUGCCUCAUGAGUUCUGGGAAUAAAGGCGUGCACCCCCACAGCUGGCAAAGCCUGUUUCCCAACAAUGUCUCCUGAGCACUGCCUUGUGCAAAUUUUUUUUUUUCGGAGCUGGGGACCGAACCCAGGGCCUUGCGCUUGCUAGGCAAGCGCUCUACCACUGAGCUAAAUCCCCAACCCCCCUUGCGCAAAUUUUAAUAUGCCGAAACUUCAUCUCUCUUCUAUUUAAAACGUCCGAUUUUGAGACUUUCUCUUUGGCAGUUUAUGUGUGUGCUUAGUGCCCACUUCACCUUUGGUCUUCUGUCACCGAUGUCUACUUUACUUCUAACACAGUCAAAAACAUAUAAUGCAUGAUCCUACUUGCUUUGACCAGCAAGGUCUGUCCCAGGUACUGAACAUACGGGUGCUAUGUCUGAUGGACCUGUGCCUGGUACAAGCCUGGAUGAAGAGGCUUUAUAGAGACAAACGAUGGGUGGACCAGUGUGCAGACCUUAAGAAACCACCGACUCACCUCCACUGUAGAAGUUGGUAGCAAAAACAGAUGUUCUUGAAAGAUGUUUUUAGCGUGAAAGGCUUUGCAGAAUUCUGUGUGCUGCCAUGUGGAGACCCCAGUGCCUCCUCCAUGUCAAGCAAACACCUAUGACUCAGCUGCAUUCCCGGCAUGGGAGAAGUCUUCUGGAUACGAAGCCUUCAACAACAACUCCCUUGCCUGCAAUUUAGUGUGAGCACAGACCUUUGAAUUAGCAGGCAACCCUCAGGGAGACACAACUGCAAAGAUGUUGCCUGGUAGCUGACACAGGCAUUGUGAGCGGGUAAGAUUACCUGCAAAACUGUAUAAACAUGUUAGGAAUUCUGUGGGGGCAGAGAGAAGGAGCAGACACAUAACCAACCCAGGUGUUAAACACACCGUUUAAGAAUACAUUCCUAUUAUUUUCUUCUCAUUCUUGUCAUUGUAGCCAAGCUGGGCAUCCUUAUUUCAAUAGUCUGUCUAAUCCUAAAGAAAAAGCAGCACAGAAAACAAAAACGCUUAUGGAAAACUGUUUUAAUUAAGACCUUAAAAUCAGAUGUUUUAAAAAGACUCGUAUAUCAUUUCUUUUAAAUAUGACUGGAUCUCUCAAACAUUUUCAGAUGUUUCCAGCAUAGAAGUUAACUCUAAAUUAUCUCACUGCUCCUAGAACAGGAAAAAGUUGUUAAGGUUCGUUAAAAUUUUCAUAGGCUCAAAAAGUAAUCACCAUCUUUUUAAAAAGGAGAAAAUUUGACCCCUAAACAUUAGGGACUCAGGUGUGGGGAGUCACCGCUAAUUCAUA
ensembl:lncRNA